CCUACGGGAGGCAGCAGUGGGGAAUUUUGGACAAUGGGCGCAAGCCUGAUCCAGCAAUGCCGCGUGAGUGAAGAAGGCCUUCGGGUUGUAAAGCUCUUUUGUCAGGGAAGAAACGGUGGGGGCUAAUAUCUCCUGCUAAUGACGGUACCUGAAGAAUAAGCACCGGCUAACUACGUGCCAGCAGCCGCGGUAAUACGUAGGGUGCAAGCGUUAAUCGGAAUUACUGGGCGUAAAGCGUGCGCAGGCGGUUUUGUAAGUUUGUCGUGAAAUCCCCGGGCUCAACCUGGGAAUGGCGAUGAAGACUGCAAGGCUAGAAUCUGGCAGAGGGGGGUAGAAUUCCACGUGUAGCAGUGAAAUGCGUAGAGAUGUGGAGGAACACCGAUGGCGAAGGCAGCCCCCUGGGUCAAGAUUGACGCUCAUGCACGAAAGCGUGGGGAGCAAACAGGAUUAGAUACCCUGGUAGUCCACGCCCUAAACGAUGUCUACUAGUUGUCGGGUUUUAAUUAACUUGGUAACGCAGCUAACGCGUGAAGUAGACCGCCUGGGGAGUACGGUCGCAAGAUUAAAACUCAAAGGAAUUGACGG
rnacentral:rRNA from 1 species